GUAACCUUUUGAAUACAUAAAGAAAAUAAUUUCUAGUAAUACAUGGUGUACAUAAAAUGAAGUACAUUCAAGUAUUGAAGAUGAGGAACAUAGGGACACACCUCCAAUACACAUUAAAUGUUAAAAUUGGUACACACACAAUUAAAGUCUCGUACACAAUCAGACGUCACUUCUGUCCCUCCCACUGAUACAAAAUCAAAGUCAUUAGCCACACCCACUAAUAGAACCGGAGGGGGCAGAGCUCCAAAGACGUUGGCUGACUUUCAAAAAUUGACAAGUCGUGGAAAGCAAUCACCAGCUGGUCAACCAACCCAAUCAAACAGACCAAAAGGUAAU